rnacentral:rRNA from 2 species
AGAGUUUGAUCAUGGCUCAGAUUGAACGCUGGCGGCAGGCCUAACACAUGCAAGUCGAGCGGUAGCACAGAGAGCUUGCUCUCGGGUGACGAGCGGCGGACGGGUGAGUAAUGUCUGGGAAACUGCCUGAUGGAGGGGGAUAACUACUGGAAACGGUAGCUAAUACCGCAUAACGUCGCAAGACCAAAGUGGGGGACCUUCGGGCCUCAUGCCAUCAGAUGUGCCCAGAUGGGAUUAGCUAGUAGGUGGGGUAACGGCUCACCUAGGCGACGAUCCCUAGCUGGUCUGAGAGGAUGACCAGCCACACUGGAACUGAGACACGGUCCAGACUCCUACGGGAGGCAGCAGUGGGGAAUAUUGCACAAUGGGCGCAAGCCUGAUGCAGCCAUGCCGCGUGUAUGAAGAAGGCCUUCGGGUUGUAAAGUACUUUCAGCGGGGAGGAAGGCGAUAAGGUUAAUAACCUUGUCGAUUGACGUUACCCGCAGAAGAAGCACCGGCUAACUCCGUGCCAGCAGCCGCGGUAAUACGGAGGGUGCAAGCGUUAAUCGGAAUUACUGGGCGUAAAGCGCACGCAGGCGGUCUGUCAAGUCGGAUGUGAAAUCCCCGGGCUCAACCUGGGAACUGCAUUCGAAACUGGCAGGCUAGAGUCUUGUAGAGGGGGGUAGAAUUCCAGGUGUAGCGGUGAAAUGCGUAGAGAUCUGGAGGAAUACCGGUGGCGAAGGCGGCCCCCUGGACAAAGACUGACGCUCAGGUGCGAAAGCGUGGGGAGCAAACAGGAUUAGAUACCCUGGUAGUCCACGCCGUAAACGAUGUCGAUUUGGAGGUUGUGCCCUUGAGGCGUGGCUUCCGGAGCUAACGCGUUAAAUCGACCGCCUGGGGAGUACGGCCGCAAGGUUAAAACUCAAAUGAAUUGACGGGGGCCCGCACAAGCGGUGGAGCAUGUGGUUUAAUUCGAUGCAACGCGAAGAACCUUACCUGGUCUUGACAUCCACAGAACUUAGCAGAGAUGCUUUGGUGCCUUCGGGAACUGUGAGACAGGUGCUGCAUGGCUGUCGUCAGCUCGUGUUGUGAAAUGUUGGGUUAAGUCCCGCAACGAGCGCAACCCUUAUCCUUUGUUGCCAGCGGUUCGGCCGGGAACUCAAAGGAGACUGCCAGUGAUAAACUGGAGGAAGGUGGGGAUGACGUCAAGUCAUCAUGGCCCUUACGACCAGGGCUACACACGUGCUACAAUGGCAUAUACAAAGAGAAGCGACCUCGCGAGAGCAAGCGGACCUCAUAAAGUAUGUCGUAGUCCGGAUUGGAGUCUGCAACUCGACUCCAUGAAGUCGGAAUCGCUAGUAAUCGUAGAUCAGAAUGCUACGGUGAAUACGUUCCCGGGCCUUGUACACACCGCCCGUCACACCAUGGGAGUGGGUUGCAAAAGAAGUAGGUAGCUUAACCUUCGGGAGGGCGCUUACCACUUUGUGAUUCAUGACUGGGGUGAAGUCGUAACAAGGUAACCGUAGGGGAACCUGCGGUUGGAUCACCU